rnacentral:misc_RNA from 1 species
AAACUGCGAUAAGUAGUGUGAAUUGCAUUUAGUGAAUCAUCGAAUCUUUGAACGCACCCUGCACUCACUGGUAUUCCGGUGAGUACGCCUGUUUCAGUAUCAUUGAAAACACACAAUCAAAACAUUUUCUUUGGUUUGAUUGGCUUUGGGUCUAUCAAAAAGUUUGGCUUGUUUCUUACAAGCCAAGCUGCCUGAAAUAUAUUGUCUGGCUAAUUGCAUCGUUGAUGAUCGCUAUUAGACUUUGGCUUUUUUAAAUGAACUGGAGGUUGAUUAACCAGUUUUAGCUUUAGUCAAAUGGUCAUUGUAAAAAAAAUCUCGAUCUUGGCUAGGUGUUUAUAGCCGAAAAUUUUUUUUUGGCUAUAACCGAAACCAAUAUAAUCACAUUUAGUUAUCGAUCUGAAAUCAGGUGGGACUACCCGCUGAACUUAAGC